GGGAUUGCCCUAGUAACGGCGAGUGAAGCGGCAACAGCUCAAAUUUGAAAUCUGGCCUCGGCCCGAGUUGUAAUUUGCAGAGGAUGCUUCUGGCGCGGUGCCUUCCGAGUUCCCUGGAACGGGACGCCACAGAGGGUGAGAGCCCCGUAUGGUCGGACACCAAGCCUGUGUGAAGCUCCUUCGACGAGUCGAGUAGUUUGGGAAUGCUGCUCUAAAUGGGAGGUAAAUCUCUUCUAAAGCUAAAUACCGGCCAGAGACCGAUAGCGCACAAGUAGAGUGAUCGAAAGAUGAAAAGCACCUUGAAAAGGGGGUUAAAUAGUACGUGAAAUUGUUGAAAGGGAAGCACUUAUGACCAGACUUGGGCCGGGCGGCUCAUCAGGGGUUCUCCCCUGUGCACUCCGCCCGGCACAGGCCAGCAUCGGUUCUCGUGGGGGGAUAAGACCGUCAGGAACGUAGCACCCUCCGGGGUGUGUUAUAGCCUGGCGGACGAUACCCCCGUGGGGACCGAGGUCCGCGCUCCGCAAGGAUGCUGGCGUAAUGGUCAUCAGUGACCCGUCUUGAAACACGGACCAAGGAGUCGUCCAUUAGAGCGAGCGUUUGGGUGUAAAACCCGCACGCGUAAUGAAAGUGAACGCAGGUGAGAGCUUCGGCGCAUCAUCGACCGAUCCUGAUGUUCUCGGAAGGAUUUGAGUAAGAGUUUUAACGGACGGACCCGAAAGACAGUGAACUAUGCUUGUAUAGGGUGAAGCCAGAGGAAACUCUGGUGGAGGCUCGCAGCGGUUCUGACGUGCAAAUCGAUCGUCAAAUAUGAGCAUGGGGGCGAAAGACUAAUCGAACU
rnacentral:rRNA from 1 species